rnacentral:rRNA from 1 species
AGGGAAUAUUGGACAAUGGGGGCAACCCUGAUCCAGCUAUGCCGCGUGUGUGAAGAAGGCUCUAGGGUUGUAAAGCACUUUAGGUAAGGACGAAAAGAAUAUAGUUAAUACCUAUAUUCCGUGACUUAACUUACAGAAUAAGGACCGGCUAACUCCGUGCCAGCAGCCGCGGUAAUACGGAGGGUCCAAGCGUUAAUCGGAAUUACUGGGCGUAAAGCGCGCGUAGGCGGUUUGUCAAGUUGGAUGUGAAAUCCCUGGGCUCAACCUAGGAACUGCAUUCAAAACUUAUAGACUAGAGUACGAUAGAGGAGAGUAGAAUUCCUGGUGUAGCGGUGAAAUGCGUAGAUAUC